AGCAGCCGCGGUAAUUCCAGCUCCAAUAGCGUAUAUUAAAGUUGCUGCAGUUAAAAAGCUCGUAGUUGAAUUUCGGGACCAAUAUGUCGGUCGUGCCUCGGUACGUACUGGCAUCGUUGGUUUCUCCCUUCUGACGAACCAUGAUGUCAUUUAUUUGGUGUUGUGGGGAAUCAGGACUGUUACUUUGAAAAAAUUAGAGUGUUUAAAGCAGGCUCACGCUUGAAUACAUUAGCAUGGAAUAAUGAAAUAGGAUGUUUGAUUCUAUUUUGUUGGUUUCUAGGAUCGACGUAAUGAUUAAUAGGGAUAGUUGGGGGCAUUAGUAUUCAAUUGUCAGAGGUGAAAUUCUUGGAUUUAUUGAAGACUAACUACUGCGAAAGCAUUUGCCAAGAAUGUUUUCAUUAAUCAAGAACGAAAGUUAGAGGUUCGAAGGCGAUCUAGAUACCGCCCUAGUUCUAACCAUAAACGAUGCCGACCGGCGAUCCGCUCGUCGUUACUUGAAUGA
rnacentral:rRNA from 1 species